rnacentral:piRNA from 1 species
AGCACUGAGUCAUGGAAAACACUAG